GCGCGGGUGUGGCUCCGCCCCGUCCCACCAGAUCUCGGUGUCGGUGCUGGCCAAUUAGGGCUGGGUCCGCUGGGAUUGCGGCUGGGCUUGUGAUGGCCGCCUGAGGAGCGAGUGCAAGGGCCGGGAUCCAGGGCGGGCACGCGAGCCGGCGUGGACGGUUGGAAACGGCGGCGUGUGAGGCAGGCGCGCGGCAUUAUUCUCUAUAUUCCCCUUUAGGUAUUUGACAUUGUUGCUGAAUAAUGGGGGAGAUAGAAGGAACGUACAGAAUACUGCAGACUCCUGGUUCUCGUUUGGGAGUCCAGAAGAAUACCGGAGUGAGUACGCUGGAGCCAGAGCAGAAUCUUUCUACAGCAAUGGCAAUGACACCUGCCAAAAUGCAUGAGAGGGAUCUACUGAUUAAAAUAAAACUGUUGGACAACACUGUGGAAGUACUUGCUGUUGAGUCCAAGUGCUGUGGCCAGACGUUGCUGACAUUGGUUUAUAAGCAUUUGAAUCUGGUUGAGUCCGACUACUUUGGAAUUGAGUUCCAGAACAUCCAGUCAUAUUGGAUUUGGCUUGAACCUAUGAAACCUAUUAUUAAACAAGUACGAAGACCAAAGAAUACAGUGCUUCGUCUAGCUGUAAAGUUUUUCCCUCCUGACCCUGGUCAGCUGCAAGAGGAGUAUACCAGGUAUCUGUUUGCAUUACAAAUCAAAAGAGACUUGGCAGAGGAACAACUAACCUGCAGUGACAACACAGCAGCUCUGAUCAUCUCUCAUCUUCUGCAGUCUGAGAUUGGGGAUUUUGAUGAAUCUGGGGAUCGUGAUCACCUAAAAACAAACCAAUACUUGCCAAACCAGGAAAGAGUACAAGGAAAGAUACUGGAGUUUCACAGGAAGCACUUGAGGGGCCAAACUCCUGCUGAGUCAGAUUUCCAGGUGCUUGAAAUUGCUCGGAAACUGGAGAUGUAUGGCGUUAGAUUUCACCUUGCAUCUGACCGUGAGGGGUCCAAAAUUAGCCUGGCUGUUUCACACAUGGGCGUACUAGUAUUCCAGGGUACCACAAAAAUCAACACCUUCAACUGGUCUAAGGUCCGUAAAUUAAGCUUCAAGAGAAAAAGGUUUCUUAUCAAGCUACACCCAGAAGUCCAUGGUCCAUAUCAGGAUACGCUGGAGUUUCUGUUUGGCAGUAGGGAUGAGUGUAAAAACUUCUGGAAAAUCUGUGUGGAAUAUCACACUUUCUUCAGGCUGUUUGAUCAGCCGAAACCAAAGGCUAAAGCAGUCUUCUUCAGCAGAGGGUCUUCAUUCAGAUACAGUGGACGAACACAGAAACAGCUGGUGGAUUAUGUUAAAGACAGUGGGAUGAAGAAAACUCCCUAUGAAAGGAGGGGCAGCAAAGCUAGAGUGUCUGCUCAUACUUCGAACACAGAUGUGCCAAAACAGAGUGUCUCAUUUACUGAGGGCUUAGGUGCUCCUGGGUCCCAUGCCUCAGUAUCUGCCUCCUUCCAUUCAGUUUAUACAUCAUCCACUACCACUACUGACCUGCCCAUCUGUACAGAGACGAAUCAUUCCUUCUUGGACCCCAGAGCACCGUAUAUGAGGCGUCCAACAGCGGAAAAGAGUAUUGCAACACCAACUGAAGAAACUGGGAAGAAAGCGACACAGCAGCCUGGAGCUCCCAUACUCCAAUCAUUCCAAGGCCUCUCAAUGGACCACCCUCAGCUCUCUUCCUUCACAUUGAAGAGUCCACAGAGCUUGAACCCCACAUUUCAGAUGAAUUUGAACCCAGCUGUCCAGGGUUCAUCUCCUCUUCUGAGUCCUGUCCUGAGCGAUGCUGGCAGUGCCCGGGUAGAAGAGGAAGAGGAAGUAAAACACAAGCGAUAUCCAACAGAGAAGGUGUAUUUCAUAGCAAAGGAGAUUCUUGCUACUGAACGGACAUAUGUGAAAGACCUAGAAGUCAUUACAGUAUGGUUCCGCAGUGCAGUCAUCAAGGAGAAUGCCAUGCCUGAAGGUCUGAUGACGCUGCUCUUCUCUAAUAUAGAUCCAAUCUAUGAGUUUCACCGAAGUUUCCUGAAAGAGAUGGAGCAGAGGGUAGCACUAUGGGAAGGACAAUCCAACUCUCAUGUGAAAGGAGAUUAUCAACGGAUUGGAGAUGUCAUGCUGAGGAACAUGUGUAUGCUGAAGGAGUUUACAAGCUACUUGCAGAAACAUGAUGAGGUCCUGACAGAACUGGAGAAAGCAACUAAGUGCUUAAAGAAACUGGAAAUGGUUUAUAAGGAGUUUGAAUUGCAGAAGGUUUGCUAUCUGCCACUCAACACUUUCCUGCUCAAGCCCAUCCAGAGGCUGAUACACUACAAGCUGAUCCUGGGGAGACUUUGCAAACACUACACAGUAGAACACCAGGACUAUGCCGACUGCAGGAAUGCACUGAAGGAGGUUACAGAGAUGACAUCUCAGCUCCAAAACAGCCUGAUCCGCCUGGAGAAUUUCCAGAAGCUGACAGAGCUACAACAUGACUUGAUUGGCAUUGAUAACCUCAUAGCACCUGGCAGAGAAUUUAUCCGGGAGGGUUGCUUGUACAAGCUCACUAAAAAAGGUUUACAACAGAGGAUGUUCUUUCUGUUCUCAGAUAUGUUGCUGUACACAAGCAAAGGAGUCACGGGUACCAAUCAGUUCAAAAUUCAUGGACACCUCCCUCUGCAUGGCAUGCUGGUGGAAGAGAGUGAGAAUGAAUGGUCUGUCCCACACUGCUUCACAAUCUAUUCAGCUCAGAAAACAAUAGUAGUGGCAGCAAGUACCCGUCUGGAGAUGGGGAAGUGGAUGGAAGACCUAAACAUGGCGAUUGAAAUGGCCAAAAAAUCUAAUGAGAAAUAUGACCCGUUUUUGGAAAGCUCCAUGUGUAAUCGCUCUAACAGAUCCUCUGAUGAGGUCUCUCUAGAGCAGGAAUCCGAAGAUGACAUACAGUCUUCUCGUAGCUCCCUGGACAGGCAGAGCCACCACCGUGCCAACACUACAAUGCACGUGUGCUGGUACCGCAACACCAGUGUCUCCAUGACUGACCACAGUGUGGCCGUCGAGAAUCAGCUUUCAGGGUACCUGCUGAGGAAAUUCAAAAAUAGUAAUGGCUGGCAAAAGCUCUGGGUUGUCUUCACCAACUUCUGUUUGUUCUUCUACAAAACUCACCAGGAUGAUUAUCCAUUGGCCAGUCUCCCACUACUUGGCUACACAGUCAGCACCCCAGUGGAGGCAGAUGGCAUUCAGAAGGAUUAUGUCUUCAAGUUGCAGUUCAAGUCCCAUGUGUAUUUCUUCAGGGCCGAGAGCAAGUACACCUUUGAGAGGUGGAUGGAAGUGAUUAAGAGAGCCACAAAUUCUCCAGGGAGAUCGAGCCUGUUGAUUCCCAUGGAUGAAAAGGAUAUUCACACAAACUGAAGGGGGCAGAGCUGGGUCUCUGCUGUAGACAUCUGUAGUGCGGUGGGAUGGAACAAGGAGUGGGGGGGUUGAUAAAGCAGUAACAUGAGAUGCUUGUUUCCACCUGGUGUGGAAGUUAAAUGGACAAGGGGAGUGAUGAACUGGGGUCACAUCAGGUUAGACUGGACUAGAAGAUAUAAAGUCUGCUACAGUCAAAGCUAACUGGAGAGGUAAUGAACCUUAACAAUGGCUGCAAAAUUCCCAUUCUGUGGGAAUCCCAUGGUUUGCUGUGUGCAUGCAUUGCAUUCCUGUUAUGGGUUCUGUAUGGUAUACAGUGGCAUGUCCUGAUGGAGACAGAUGGCCAUGUUCAUUGUGAUUGGGUGUGUCAGUUGUGUUUCUUGGUCCGUAACUGCGGAUAUCAGGCUUUCUGGCUCCCGGGAGUUCCCUUCUGACACUCAGUGUGGCUAAACCUCUGGACUGUCGGCUGCCAUAGCUUCAACCUGCUGGCCACAAACUUCGUGGACUAACUGGGGAUCUGCAGAUGUAUCCAGCCAGAAGGCCUGAAUUCACUUUAAUUUCAAACAGAAAAUACAGCUGCUGUAAAAUCAUGGAGCUCUUCAGGAAAUUGCCAUGGCAACUACUUCAGUUUUUUGGGGGGGGAGGGGGAGAAAUCGGGAGAACAUGAAGCUUUUAGUUUUAGAGGUAUCACAUUUACAGCUUGGAGCAGGAGACCUGUAUGAAAGAACACACAUGGUUUAUUAGAGCUCAGAGCCUGCUCUGCUGCAUGCUGAGAGGGGCCUACCAGAUAUAUUUAUUAUACCUCCAGAGUCCUCUGCAUCCCUCAUGGAGUGGAGGGCUCCUCUUACAAACCCUUUAAUCACCCUCCACUAGUGAGACAUUAUUUAAGGCAGGGAUGGCCAAAGAACUAACCACAACGUCCUCCAAUGCAAUAUGUUGCUGCUCUUGAGUGGUAUUUUCAAAGGUGCCUAAGUGACAUAGGCGUAUAAGCCCCAUUGAAAGUCACUGAUACUUGUGUUCCUAUGCUACUUAGGAGUGUUUGAAAAUCCCAGCCCUUAUCUCUCUGGAGGUGGCAUCCAUCUUCAGCUUUAACAUGGUGUGACGAUCAUUUGCAUCAAGGUGGAGCAUUAUAUCCUGGCACCUGCUUUCUGUGGGGUUGUGCCACCAUAUUCAAGAUAAAAAUAGUUUGUCUGCCCCACUUCCUGCAGAUUUGCUGUUUCCUUUGGAUGCUGUGCAAUGCAGCACUUGAUUGGGCAAAUUAUGGAUGCCCCUGAUCUGAGGACUGGUAAAGUUGUAAUAAGCUGAAAGUAAUAAAUGCUGCUUAUAGGUAACAUAGCUUAGAGGGGCUGAUUUAUAUUUCAGGUGGAAAAGUAUUUGUGUCAGGGAAGAAACAAUAAGGUGUUAGAGAGAGAUAAGAAAGUGCUGUGUGUUGCGAGGAUGACAGAAACAAGAGGAAAGCAGAGAGACCUAUGGAACAUGGGAGAUGCAGAGGCUUGCAUGUGCAACUGUUUCCCCAGAGAGAGAGAGACUCCUGGGUUUGUUGGGUCAAAGUCUUAGUGUGCUGGAUGGGAAAGGACUAGGAUCCCAGAUGGGAGGAUUCUAGGUAGAAGAUUUCAUGACCUUUCACUUGGCACCUUCAUCCAUAAAGAAGCAGAGACUGGACCAGUGCAUCAUAAUGACCGUUAUCCAUUCUCUGCAGCUUGAGGGAAGAGGCUUUGGACUCCGUAACAGGUGGUUGAGCUUCUACUGUCUUCAUCUGUUUUCCUGGAUGAUGCUCUGCUUGCCUCUUCUUCCCAAGAACAGUAAUGCACACUAUGAACAUCCAGGGUCUGUUUGAAAGGAAUGAGUGAAACCAGUUUAGAGUGGAGCUUCCCUUUUGAAUGAGAAAUCCCCAGCUGCCGUCUUUGGGAUUUCAACUGCUUGUUAAUCUCUUGCAAUGGGGAUCUGCAGAGGCAAUUUUCAUGAAGGAGAAAAGAGGGUUACCUAUCAGUAAUUGAAAUUUUCUGAGUAUGUCCACACUGACUCUCCUCCAUAGCCUUUUGCUUAGACUUUGAGACAGAGAGGAAUUAAAGACUGUUAAGAACAAAGGGCCUUUUACAGCGAUGGUUUAAAACAUUGUUGUGUAGCUCUAGUUAUCUGCUAUUUCUUUUACUUCUUUAAAUGAUUCCAUGGCUUAUGAGUGUGGCUUGCAACUUCCUACAGUGCAGAGGCAGUAUGUCUGAAAAACCCGCUACUGGUAAGUUAGAUGCCUUUCUCAGCCUUGCCCCAAGUGAACAUUUUCUCACGUCAUCUGGUAUUACUGAUCAUCUGCUUCAGAGAGACAGGGACCUGGAAUAGCAGGGAGGAUUAUGUUACAUUGGCAGAGCUGUGUAGAAAGAGCUUGCACAACAUCUCUGUACAAUGCCUGGCACUGACUCAUUUUCUCAAGAGCCAGAGUUUACCACUCUGCAAGCAACAAGACUCAGUGAGUUCAUAUAUUCCAUACAUGUUGACUGGGCCUUGUAGUGUCUCAUUGAUUUAGUACAAGGAUGAGCAACUGGUGGCCCAGAGGCCACACCAGACCCACUGGAUCAUUUUAUUUGGCUCACCACAGCCCAGCUUGGGGUAGGUGAUCCGGCAGCGCCAGAGCCAGGAAGAGGGCGGGUGGCACAUCCUGGGGCAAAGGCCCUGCGUGUGCACAGAUGCAUUUGUCACAUGACGCUGUGGUGAGAGCCCACAGACCAGAGCAGGGUGUCGGGUGCAGCCCUCAGCAGACAGGAGCUGCUGCUGCUGCAGAGUGAGUGCAGGAUGGACUUUCUCUCUAACUCACCCUGGUGCCUCCCACCCCCGCAUCGCACUGCCUGGCCCACCAAAGUGUGUUAGAGGAUUCUUUAGCCCUCUAGUACCUGAAAGUUGCCCAUCUCUGAUUUAGUCUCUUCAAAGUUUUCUAGCCUUAAGCAACCCAGUGCGCUACCAUCUACCUUGUAUAUUAGAAGAGGAAAGUCCUGAAGAGUAAGUUAUAUGCAUUGACAAGUAUUGCAUUAUUGAUUUCACCUGAUCAAAAAGCAAUACUGUUUGAAAAAGCUCUUGGGGGAAAAAAAACUAGGGCUGUGGAUUAAUCAGUUAACUCAUGCAAUUAACUCAAAAAAAUUAAUCGUGAUUAAAAAAAUUGUGAUUCAUCGCAGUUUUAAUCACACUGUUAGACAAUAGA